UCCAUGGCGAGGCCCCCCGCUGCUGCCCCAAGAAACGCUUGGGUUUGAGAUCUCAGGAAACACGGAGAGCCCCCACUGCGAUGGUGACGGCCCUCGAGUGGGUGGUGCUAAGGAAAGGGCAGCACACCCUCGAGGGCGGGAAGUGAAUGGGCCUCCCCAGCCAUGUGGAACUGUGUGACAAAAGAGAGGGCGAAUGGAUAAAUCACAUUCCACUCAACCGCCUCAGUCUGAAGAUGAUACACCUAAUUUCUGCUUACAUCCCAUUCAUAAGAACUAGUCCCAAGGACCUAUCUCAGGAAGAAGAGAACAUGGAUAUUGUUGCAAAGUAUUCUGUGCCACAUUGUGAGAACACUCAAGAAUCCCUGCAGAGAGGGCCACAUGAUGAGGAAAUGAAGUC
rnacentral:lncRNA from 1 species